ACUUCCUUCGCCACAAGUCGCUCAACGGACCGUUCAGGUGCCUCUCGGCCGGGCGGCAGGAUGAAGGCGGGGAAGAGCGAGCGGGAGCGAAGCGGCCGGCGGCGACACCGGACGGACGAUGCUUUGGCGAACGUGGUGGUGAAGCAGGAGCCUCUGAGCCCCGAACCCGUGACGCACCGCCGGCCGGACGCCGCAGCUGCCAGCCCGUCCCCGCCCGUCGCCGAGCCGAGCCGCGCCGGCCACCGCGGGAGCCGAGCCCGAGGAGCGAGCCGGUCCCCAGCCAAAAAGAAAAGCAAGUCCUCAGGGAGGAGAAGCAAGUCUCCUCGGAUUAAGAGAAGCCGGAGUCCCCACUACCCCAUGGUCAAAGUGAAGCAGGAACGUGAGGACCAUCCACGGAGAGGGCGAGAGGAUCGGCAGCACCGGGAGCCAUCAGAACAGGAGCACAGGAGAGCUCGGAACAUGGAGCGAGACCGGCACCGGGGCCAUUCCCGCCAGAGGAGGAGCUCCAAUGAGAGGCCUGUCAGUGGGCAGGGUCGGGAUCGAGACAGCCAGAAUCUGCAGGCCCAGGAAGAAGAGAGAGACUUCUAUAACGCCAGGCGCCGGGAGCAUCGCCAGCAGAAUGAAGGUGCUGGCGGUGAGGCUCAGGAGGUGAUCCCUCGCCCUGCUGGUAACAGAAGCAAAGAGGUACCUGUUAAAGAAAAACCGAACUUUGAACUUUCUGGAGCACUUCUUGAGGAUACCAAUACCUUCCGGGGUGUGGUUAUUAAAUACAGUGAGCCCCCAGAAGCUCGGAUUCCCAAAAAGCGGUGGCGUCUCUACCCAUUUAAAAAUGAUGAGGUGCUUCCAGUCAUGUACAUCCAUCGGCAGAGUGCUUACCUUCUGGGUCGACAUCGCCGCAUUGCCGACAUUCCCAUCGACCACCCCUCCUGCUCAAAGCAGCAUGCAGUCUUCCAGUACCGGCUUGUCGAGUACACCCGUGCUGACGGCACAGUUGGUCGGAGAGUAAAGCCCUACAUCAUUGACCUCGGCUCUGGCAACGGAACGUUCUUGAACAACAAGCGUAUUGAGCCACAGAGAUACUAUGAACUGAGAGAAAAAGACGUACUUAAAUUUGGGUUCAGUAGCAGAGAAUAUGUCUUGCUCCACGAGUCUUCAGACACCUCUGAACUAGACAGGAAGGAGGAUGAAGAUGACGAGGAGGAGGAAAUGGUGUCUGACAGCUAGCAGCUGAGAAGCAGCCUCCGCUGUUAGAAAGCGUUCCUACCGGAGGCUAUGGAGGUCAAACCCUGAGACUACGGAGAACAUCUUGUCACACAACUGCUUCAUCUUCGCCUAGAAGCAGAGGAUGGAGGAUCAUGGAGCGAAGCCCUAAAAGACCACACUUGGCUGGGAGAUUGACAAGGCCAAGAACAAGUCCUAAACCCACUUGGACCUUCAAGACUAAGCAGUUCUUCCUCCAGCGUCACAUAAACGUGGAGACGCCCCUACCUCACCUGUGUCAAGCAGUCUCCCCCUCGAUCAUAAACUGCUGGUUGCCUUGCUCCUAAACCCUCCUUCCUACUCUGUCCAGUAGCCUUUUCCUGCCCUUUCUGCAUCUUUCUUCACCACCCUUGGCCUCCUCAAAUGCUGCCAUUGGUUCUAAGAGUUCCAUCCAUCAGACCCCGGAGUCUUCCCACCAGUCCUAGGUAUUCACCCUCUCUCAUGAGCUGGGUUCCACGGCCAGGCUCCAGGAGUGCAGUCCACUCAUGCCUCAGGGGUGUUCCCUCCUGACCCUGGAUUUCAUCUGCAGUUGCUAGGGACACAUUCACAGUCUGCUGGGGUUCACCCCUUGAAUCCCAGGCUGGACCUAGCUCCAUGCGUCCCAGGCUAAGGCCUCCACUCCCUGGAAACAUUCUCCCCCAACAGUCCUGGCUAUAUGCUGUUUUUCUAUGGCCAGUCCUUAGAACGUUUUGUAUUUUGUCUUGUCCUGCACCCAUUAGCAACCUCCCCAGUGUGUAAGUCUAAUUUAAGAUGGCUGGGGAUUAGUUUAUCAGUGGAAUGCUUGCCUGGUAUGAGUUCAGUUUCUAGCACUGAGGAUUUAAAAGAAGAAAAGAUGGAUAUGGUGGUCACAGCUUUUAUUAGUACUUGGGAGGCAGAGGCAAGCAGCUCUGUGAGUUAGAGGUCAGACUGAGGAGUUUGAAGCCAGCCAGGGCUACAGAGUAAGACCCUGUCUCAAGUGAAAAUUUCAAAAAUAUAGUUUACAAAAGUGACACAGUUGAGGUCAUUUACUGAAGUGACUUGAGUGACUGUCAGUUGAACACAGCAUGUUAGUAGUUGGUUUGCAACUCUGAGUCAGACACAGCAACACUUAAGCAGGACUGUCCUGGAACGGGUGAUGUUUUGAGGAGUGUCUUACAGCAGAGGUAGAUUCUGAACUAGUAGGUGAGGGCCCCUGUACCAGUUGAGACAGUUGAGGAAGCAGUGGGACUGCAGAGGGGUGCAUGGAAAGAGUGUAAGCCAUGUUCGGAAGUGCCAUUGUGGUAAGUGGCCAUGAGGUCACACAGUCACCUACAGAGCAUGAUGGACAGAGUGGAGGAGGGAAAAGAAUGGAGUGGGCCACUCCCAUCACUGGAGUCACAGAAUCACACUGGGUGGGACAGAGAAGGCUCAGGAGAAUCCUUGUCUCAGUAAUAGCAGCAGUAGCGGUACAGCACUUGCUUUGCCAGCAUGAGAACCUGAAUUUGGGCCCCCAGCUUCCAUGUGGAAACCAAGCACAGAAGCAUUUGUAAUCCCAGUGUUAGGGAUGUGGAGGCGGGUGGGUCCUUGCAAUUCAGUGCCCAGCCAGUGUCUGUCAGUUAAGCUUCAGGUUCGGUGACUAUCAAACAAUAAGGUGGGGAGUGAUAGAGACACUCAUAUUCAAACACACAAACGUGGACUCCCCUGUUGUGUGACAAAACUUUACCCGAGGAGAUGAAACACAUCUACUCAUCCCAAACAGGGUCCCACGGCAAACCUAAGUACCAAGUCCAACUUGGUGAACCAAUGAAUUUUAUUGGGGUUACAAGAGCAGAAAUGACUCAGAUGCAACACUAAAACCCACCCCAACAUGGGUGACAGCUCCAAAAGGCUGGGAACCUGGAGCACACUGCACACCCUACUGACAGCUCAGCAGGUUGGAGAGAGUCCUUUCCAGGUGCCUCAGUUGGUUUUAAACCUCUUCUAGGCAGCUGGUCUGGGCUCAGAGUUUUUGCAGCUCAGCCUUCCUUCCUCCCAGAGGGGCUCUAGGCUUUUGUUUACUCUGGCAGGGAGGGCCAAGUGAGUCUGCUGAGUUUCAGGGACUUCCUAAAGCUACUUUGAUUUGUUUGCCUUUCUGCUUGAGCUUUCCAGAAGGAUGGAGUAUUUCAGAGAGCCUUAACACCACCCCCCAAAAAAGUCAGUAUAUUAGAGCAUGCUCAAGGAAAAUGAAAUUCUAAGCACUUUAGAUAUGUACUAGAUCAUACCAGAACUCUGUCCUCAGGUAAGCAGGAUUUGACUUUUGAAAAUGAGAAAGCCGAAGCACAAAACAGUGAAAGUAACAAUUUUUAUGUCUUUUGCCUGCAUUUAUAUCUGUAUCCUGUGUAUGCAUGGUACCCAUGGAGGCCAGAAUACAGUGUCGGAUAACACUUGAAAUGGAGUUAUAGACAAUUGUGGACCACCAUGUGAGUUGUUGGAAUCUUAACUCGGGUCCUCUGCGAGAACCAGAAGCACUCAACUGCUAAACAUCUUUCCAGCUCCAUAUACCAUGUUCUUUGUAAUUAAAAGUAAUUUUGUGUGUAUGGA